ACGUAGGUGGCAAGCGUUGUCCGGAAUUAUUGGGCGUAAAGCGCGCGCAGGCGGUCUCUUAAGUCUGAUGUGAAAUCUCGCGGCUCAACCGCGAGCGGUCAUUGGAAACUGGGGGACUUGAGUGCAGAAGAGGAAAGUGGAAUUCCACGUGUAGCGGUGAAAUGCGUAGAGAUGUGGAGGAACACCAGUGGCGAAGGCGACUUUCUGGUCUGUAACUGACGCUGAGGCGCGAAAGCGUGGGGAGCAAACAGGA
rnacentral:rRNA from 1 species